rnacentral:rRNA from 1 species
GAUGAACGCUGGCGGCGUGCCUAAUACAUGCAAGUCGAGCGAACGGACGAGAAGCUUGCUUCUCUGAUGUUAGCGGCGGACGGGUGAGUAACACGUGGAUAACCUACCUAUAAGACUGGGAUAACUUCGGGAAACCGUAGCUAAUCCCGGAUAAUAUUUUGAACCGCAUGGUUCAAAAGUGAAAGACGGUCUUGCUGUCACUUAUAGAUGGAUCCGCGCUGCAUUAGCUAGUUGGUAAGGUAACGGCUUACCAAGGCAACGAUGCAUAGCCGACCUGAGAGGGUGAUCGGCCACACUGGAACUGAGACACGGUCCAGACUCCUACGGGAGGCAGCAGUAGGGAAUCUUCCGCAAUGGGCGAAAGCCUGACGGAGCAACGCCGCGUGAGUGAUGAAGGUCUUCGGAUCGUAAAACUCUGUUAUUAGGGAAGAACAUAUGUGUAAGUAACUGUGCACAUCUUGACGGUACCUAAUCAGAAAGCCACGGCUAACUACGUG